UACGUAGGGUGCAAACGUUGUUCGGAAUCACUGGGCAUAAAGAGCGCGUAGGCGGUCUGACAAGUCCCCUGUGAAAGCCCCCGGCUUAACCAGGGAACUGCAUGGGAUACUGUUGGGCUAGAGUGCAGGAGGGGAGAGCGGAAUUCCAGGUGUAGCGGUGAAAUGCGUAGAUAUCUGGAGGAACACCGGUGGCGAAGGCGGCAUCCUGGACCAAUUCUGACGCUGAGGAGCGAAAGCCAGGGGAGCAAACGGG
rnacentral:rRNA from 1 species